rnacentral:lncRNA from 1 species
GAACCACUGUCUUCCUUAUCCCAGGAUGUCUGCAAGGAAGAAAAUGUCCUUUUUCUAGCAUUUAGAGGCCACCAACAUUGAAUAACCACACUGGGGUAGACACAGCGGGGAAAAGAUUCCUGCUGUUCCCACCACAGCAGCCUUGGAGAUGUGGAGACAGAUGGAUCUGACCAGUGCAUCCGGAGCAACUAUGAGGAUGGUAAAUUGGUGUCUAAUUCUGAAAAUCAUAAUUGGUAUAAAUGCUAUGCACUGUGGAAGGAGGGAUGAAGGGUAGAGGGAAUAAAAAAGAACAUGAAGUUAGAAUCCUUGGCAUGAAAGCCUGCCGUUUAUACAAGCAAACAAACAAGACUACUAGGACGUCCACAACAUGAAAUGAGAGAACGAUUUGGUAAGUUCAACAAAAGGCAUAUUACGCAGCCACCGUACAUUCUUUGUGGAAAGAGAAGUGGCAUA